GUUUCCUGGCUCUCUGGUCCCAGGCUCACCAUUACACCAAUCCGGUGGGGGUAAAGCCUGGCCUGUGACCGCCCUUGGGUGGGCCACAGUCCCAGAGGAAGCACGUGGAGUCGGCUCCCACGGGAAGGAGGGCUUCUUCUGUUGGCUGAGGAGAGGGAAGGGCUGCUGAUCAGGGAAAACCUAUGCCCGCCGCCAUGGCUCUUCCCCAAGUGCCAUACGCCAGGCCCUUGCCCACCGCAGCCGGGAGCCCAGAGCGCCAAGGCUCGGUGCACAUGAAAGAGAAUCGCGUGACCUGUAGGGACGAGUCAUGGUUUUCUCCUGGGACCACCUCACGACGGGCUCAUUCCACACACGGUUUGGCCCACACUGAUCGCUCCUCUGGGCCGGGCCCCGUUCCAGGCUCGGGGACUCUAGGUGCUUUGGUUUUGUUUUUGAAGGCACAGGGGCUGCCCUUAAAGAGCCCCCCACUGGGGACAGACACGUACGGGACAGCAGUGUGUUAACAGCAAUGAUAGAAGCCCUUGGGGCGCCUGGCCGGCUUGGUCGGUACGGUGUGGGACUCUUGAUCUCAGGGUUGUGAGUCCAAGCCCCACACUGGAUGCAGGGAUUACUUAAGAUGUAAAAAUAAACUCCUUAGGGGAAAAAAAAAAAGCAGAUGAAUUCAUCCAGGAUAUGUGAAGGAUGUUUACAACUCAGUGAUGAAAAGACAACCAGGUAAGAAGUGGGCAAGGAACUUGAAUGGACACUCCUGUGAAGACAGAAGUGGAGAGACAUUCUGAGUCCUUAGUCAGGAGGGAAUGCAGGGCAGAACCACCGGAUCCCACCUCUCACCCCCUAGAGGGCUAUCGUAGUUAACAGUAACAACAGGUGUUCGUGAGGGCUGGAGACCUUGGAGGCCUCGUCCAUCCCCGGCAGGAACGUGAGAUGGUGAGAUGGUGCGGGCACCGUGGAAAGACAGCUCGAGGGCUCCUCCCCGAGUUACCCGGAAUCACCCUCUGACCCAGCAAGUCCACUCCCGGCCACGUCGCCUGCACUGCGAGCGGGGACUGUACUGGACAUGGGCGCACCACUGCUGCUGGCAGCAUUACUCACGGUGGCCUGAGGCAAAACCACCCCGAUGUCCCUCAGGAGGUGAACGCAUAAACAAAGCCCGGUCUGCAUGUCCAGCGAGACACUCAGCCGGAAAAGGAAAGGACUGGUUCGCGCUCCGGGGCUUUAUGGCAAGUGAAAGAUGCCGUACACAGAAGGCCGCGUCCUGUGUGAUCCUGGCCGCUGUCGAUCACUGUCACUGAACUCUCAUGCAGUCGCGGG
rnacentral:lncRNA from 1 species